AGCGAACGCUGGCGGCAGGCCUAACACAUGCAAGUCGAACGAACUCUUCGGAGUUAGUGGCGGACGGGUGAGUAACACGUGGGAACGUGCCUUUAGGUUCGGAAUAACUCAGGGAAACUUGUGCUAAUACCGAAUGUGCCCUUCGGGGGAAAGAUUUAUCGCCUUUAGAGCGGCCCGCGUCUGAUUAGCUAGUUGGUGAGGUAAAGGCUCACCAAGGCGACGAUCAGUAGCUGGUCUGAGAGGAUGAUCAGCCACAUUGGGACUGAGACACGGCCCAAACUCCUACGAGAGGCAGCAGUGGGGAAUCUUGCGCAAUGGGCGAAAGCCUGACGCAGCCAUGCCGCGUGAAUGAUGAAGGUCUUAGGAUUGUAAAAUUCUUUCAACGGGGACGAUAAUGACGGUACCCGGAGAAGAAGCCCCGGCUAACUUCGUG
rnacentral:rRNA from 1 species